rnacentral:pre_miRNA from 1 species
CUAGAGUUCCCUCAAACACUUCAUUGGAGAUUAUAUGCCCCUCUCUACUUUCUAUCUACUGAAGUGUUUUUGGGGACCCUUAG